rnacentral:rRNA from 4 species
CCUGGCGGCACUAGCGCGGUGGUCCCACCUGACCCCAUGCCGAACUCAGAAGUGAAACGCCGUAGCGCCGAUGGUAGUGUGGGGUCUCCCCAUGCGAG